AGACGGAGGAUGGGAGCUUGCUCCCUGAGUCAGCGGCGGACGGGUGAGUAACACGUGGGCAACCUGCCUGUAAGACUGGGAUAACUCCGGGAAACCGGGGCUAAUACCGGAUAACUCUUUUCCUCACAUGAGGAAAAGCUGAAAGAUGGUUUCGGCUAUCACUUACAGAUGGGCCCGCGGCGCAUUAGCUAGUUGGUGAGGUAACGGCUCACCAAGGCCACGAUGCGUAGCCGACCUGAGAGGGUGAUCGGCCACACUGGGACUGAGACACGGCCCAGACUCCUACGGGAGGCAGCAGUAGGGAAUCUUCCGCAAUGGACGAAAGUCUGACGGAGCAACGCCGCGUGAGUGAUGAAGGUUUUCGGAUCGUAAAACUCUGUUGUCAGGGAAGAACAAGUACCGGAGUAACUGCCGGUACCUUGACGGUACCUGACCAGAAAGCCACGGCUAACUACGUGCCAGCAGCCGCGGUAAUACGUAGGUGGCAAGCGUUGUCCGGAAUUAUUGGGCGUAAAGCGCGCGCAACGGUUCCUUAAGUCUGAUGUGAAAGCCCCCGGCUCAACCGGGGAGGGUCAUUGCAAACUGGGGAACUUGAGUGCAUAAGACACCAGGGUAUUCCCCGUGUAGCGGUGAAAUGCCUAAGAUGUGCAGAACCCCUGUGGUGACGGCACUCUUUGGUCUUUACUCGACUCUGAGGCAAACCCUCGUCACCCAGGAAUAAAUACCCUGUACCCCCGCCCCUCCCGAUGAUGCUGGUGCUUAGAAGUUUCACCCCAUGAACGC
rnacentral:rRNA from 2 species